rnacentral:lncRNA from 1 species
AAGGGGGGGGGGCGCCAACCCAGACAGGAAGACCACGUCAGUGACUCAACCCACUCAAGUGACGCACCCCUCCUAGGGACGGCAUGGAAGAGCACCAGUAAGCCAGUGACUCAACCCCUGUAAUAGGGUUAGAGGCAGAGAAUCCCAGUGGAGAGAGGGGAACCGGCUAGGCAGAGACAGCAAGGGCAGUUCGUUGCUCCAGUGCCUUUCCGUUCACCUUCACUCUCCUGGGCCAGACUACACGGGUCGGGGACCCUUGGUCUUGUUGUUCCAUCUCCAAGUAUGUGUACUCGGUGGAAAGCCACCUUGUUUACAGUCUCUAUAGGACGUUUCAAGGAGGAUUGCAUGAAUUCUCUGAUCGUGCCCUCUGGAUUAUUGGAUGCGUCCUCAUGAAUCCCAGAUUUUUUUUUUCACGCAUUCUAUAACUUUGUAUGUCUAGUAGCGACUCCUUCAUCAUCCUAUUAACCCUGAAUAGACAAUCCAUAUUGGAAUCGUGGAUUUUUACCUUGGCUGUGAGUGCCUUGUUUUCUCCUUGGAGCGUGAGAAUUUCACUCUGGCUAACUCCAAACACUCCCUCAGCCCUGCUACCUCCUCACACAACUUUUCCAGUGUUGCAUGGAUUCCAGCCAGAGCACUGGCCUCUACUUCAACGCAGCUACAAGCGAGUGUUGAAGGGAGAGAGGAAUGAGAGGAAGAAGUCACAGACACGCGCCCAGCCGGUGAUGGCUGCGCGGACGGUGACAAGCUGCCCGACUAAAUGUAACUACUGUGCUCAGCCAAGAAGAAAAAGGAUCUGGAGGUAAACCAAUUUUGUGACGGCACAGACAGUGAGAAUGUGCCUGAUGAGGCGUGAUGG